CAAUAGCGUAUAUUAAAGUUGUUGCAGUUAAAAAGCUCGUAGUUGGAUUUCGGGACGGCACGGUCGGUCCGCCGCAAGGUGUGUUACUGGCCGGGCUGUUCUUCUUCGCAAAGACUGCGUGUGCUCUUAACUGAGUGUGCGCAGGACUUGCGACGUUUACUUUGAAAAAAUUAGAGUGUUCAAAGCAGGCCAGCGCUUGAAUACAUAAGCAUGGAAUAAUGGAAUAGGACUUUGGUUCUAUUUUGUUGGUUUCUGGAACCGAAGUAAUGAUUAAGAGGGACAGUUGGGGGCAUUCGUAUUUCGUUGUCAGAGGUGAAAUUCUUGGAUUUACGAAAGACGAACUACUGCGAAAGCAUUUGCCAAGAAUGUUUUCAUUAA
rnacentral:rRNA from 1 species